GUUUCCGGUCGCAGCAUGGAGCCGAUGAUCGU
rnacentral:scRNA from 1 species